AAACAAAAUCACAUUUAGGGAAGCCAGACCCAAAGAAACAUAGGCUCCAUGGUUUCCCUCAUUUGUAAUAAUUACUUUAUGUGUAGGUUAGUCCUAGAAGAGGAUCACAAUAGCUCAAUAGUUUUGUACAUAUGACUAUAUUGAAUGAUGCUGAUUGAAAUGAACUCCAAGGUAUGGAAACAAAUGAGUUUUUUAAUAUACUGUGUGAAAUUAUUUCUCUUUUCCUUCAUUUUAUCCCCUUUGAUUUAGCCUCUGCUGUUACUGUUUUGGGUUUUGGUACCUUGUGUC